rnacentral:misc_RNA from 1 species
GUGAAUCAUCGAAUCUUUGAACGCAAAUUGCACUCUCCUCGGAGAGUAUGCCUGUUUGAGGGUCAGCCUAUAAAAAAUCGACAUCGUUGCUGUUUCGCGGUGGCGUUCGUCGGAAAUUGGGUCAUCUUAAACCUUUGGGUUUUAAGCGGCUUAAAAUUUUCUUUACGAUUCAACAACGGUUUCUAGAUUCUUAACUCUUUAACGGU